AGCUUGACUUCUCCAGACCUAACAAACAACUGAAGGGGAAGAUGGAGAGGGGAGCACAGCUGGGCAUUGGUCCCCACCAUUGUGGUCCAGAACACCAGAUACAUGGGCUUUUCAGAAUCGAGACUGGUAUUCCAAGUUUCCUGACCAUAAUAUAUCCCAGAAACACAUUGGAUGUAGACAGUGCACCACAGUAUGGUCAUAGGUUAGUACUUGAUCUACAGUUUACCAUAUCCAAGCUGAAUGGUCAUCAGUGGAGAACUUGCUACUUGUCCUAGAUAAAUAAUGGUUAUGAGACUCAUACAUGAGCCUCUAGGAACCUGGAUGAUCUUGGAGAAUCCUUUGUCCAUUUUGAUAUCUUCUGAAGCAAGAUCUACUUUCUCAAGGAAAAAAAAACCCCAAAAUUCUUCCCUCUUGCAUCUGAACUGUACUGACCCCAACUUGAGGCCUGUCUGAGGCUUCCCAGUUGUGUGUGAUGUGUUACGAGCUGUCUUAAACUGAAAUCCCAGAGACCUUAAUCUUCACCUGUAAUGCCAGGGGACGGGGAUGGGAAACAGUACAAACUGGACCUACAGAGAAUACCCCAAACUUGAGAUGAGACUGGAGGACUCGGAGCUCCUUAAAGGGAAGAAAAUGUUAUUACUUACAGUUUGAUAUGAAAUAUGGUAAGCUGAUUUUCAUAUUAAAAUGCCCCUUUAUUAAUAUAUACUUAAAACCAUGUAUGUAUCUGUGAAAGAGGAAAAACUUCAUGCCUAGCAUUUUAAACCAUUUCUCUUAUACUUCCGUAGAACAACAAAGAUGAGCCAGGUAGCUUAUACAGUAGCAAGUCAGUCAGUCACAAAUCAGAAACUGAUGUAGGAAGCUUUAGAAUAAUACUGAAUGUUAAUAAUAGUCCCCCAUACAAUAUCAGACCUUACUAGCUCCAGUGCCUUUCCUAGCUAGGACACUAGUUACUUAAAACAGAAAACUAAAAGCAAAGCAAAACUUUAAGUAAUGGAGUUUUGCAGAAAACUAAGUCUUCCCAAAUAGUUGUUGUUUCUUGAUUUCACAAUUUGUGCCUUUUCCAAACAGCUCAAAGUCCUAUCACCUGCCUAAGCAUGCACCCACCCUCCCCAAAGGGGACUUUAGGGAAAACCACUGUUCAAGUGGCAAGUGUGCACCGUAACCAGGAACUGCAUUUGCAGAACAUCUGGAGGAAUCACAAGUAACUGUUCUUCGCUGCUCCGGAAGAGAGACUGUGGCUUUCUGUGCUGCCAAGGUAUGUCUGCUCAUAGGCCCACGGAGGGGUUGUCUGCUUCUACAGAAGCACCAUUAAUGCAAGUGCUAGGGGUGAAGUGGUAUAUAAUAAUAGAUCACUUUUGUAUUAAAUCUGCCAGCACUUCAGGGUGGGGAAAAGGUUUCAGGAACUUGCACAGCUGUCUGAUAAUGAUAGCAUUGAUCAGCUAGGUAAAGAAGCCUGGCCUUGCAGAGCUUGGUACUAAGCCCCACUUCUUAAAUUCUCUCAUUAAAACUGUGAUAUUCCUCUUGUAGCGGAACUUUACCAUGGAGCUUGUAUGUUCCAGUUAUACCAGAAAAUAAGUAAUAGAGGCAAGCUGCCCAUGUGCUUCAAAAAGUUGUUUUCAAAAAGCCUCAAAACUCAUUCUUAUGUAUGAGGAGGAACAGCCCUCUGUGCAGGCUCUUUCAUAGUAUCAUCUUGUGUAUUCUGCCUGUUAGCGUAAAUGAGAAUUUUUUUUGCUUUUGUCAUGCAUUCAAUAGUCUUGCUAUGGAAACAUAACAUUUAUGUCCUAUUGCUUUUUAUUUUCUCUUUAAAUGUUCUGACAAUGCCUCAGUUUUUGCAGUACAUCAUUUAAAUGGAGGAGAAUGUCAAACUGAUUCCAUACACCCUCAGCCAGCAAAUGGUAAACAAAACAAUAUCCUGGUUAUACAAUUGGUUUGGUAACAAUUCCUGUAAAGCAUUUGAUGAACGACUUAACUGAAGCACAAAUAACUUUUUGAGGAUGAUAAUGUUGUUUAACUCUUACCCUAUACUGCUUUUACAUACUUCAUGUUGUCGGAGAAACUGGUUGCUUGAACUAAAAAUAUCUCUGUGGAAUUCUGACCUGACAAAAACACUCAAGGCAUUUACUGCUGUAUCCACAGAAGCUAAAUCAAUGGGCUGCAGGAUACCAGCUUGCCAGUCACCAAAAAAACCCCCACAGAUCUCAUCACUAUGUCUGGGUUUACAUGGUCAUUAUCAGCACAUCCAGUUGACAUGUUAGUAUCAGUAGAAAGCUGUCUCUGAUACAAGCUGGCUUACUACAGCAGCCUUUAGUUACAAUUAGUCUUUUUCCCACUUUUGACAAGUUCUGUGUGUUGAUUAGACCUUCCCAAGUAUGUGAAGACUUCAGGUCGGGAUUUUUUUUUUCACUGUUUUUCUUCUAAGGUGAAAAAAAUGAAUGCAUCAAAAACUAGAGCUGUACCCAAAUGAGGAAAAACGGAUCAUAAAUCUUCAUAGGCUAAAAUGUUAAAAUGCAGUGAGGUGGGGCAAAAAAUAGUUAAGGAAUAAUUUAAGAAGGCACUAGUUCUACUAAUAAAAAUAAUUUCAAAUGCUAUUUUGUUGAACAGUUUUUUUCCCCCCGUUGCAGCCUGUCCCUACUCCAGCACUACAACACAGAGGAGAUGAUAAAAUUGGAAAAGGAUAGGGAGAACAACAAAGAUCAUAAAGGGUUCAAAAGUGCUCUCAUGUGAAGAACAAUUCACUGGAGCAGGAAUCUUAAUUUUGGAAAAGAUGGUUUGUUCAGGUGGCCAGCGUGUUUUGAUAAAAUAAGCAGCAAAUGUGCUGAGUAGGGAAUGAUUUUUCACUGUCUUACAAAAUACUAAAUGAAACACAUGAAUGUUUGGAGAGCUGUAUCUUCACUGGCAGAAGCGUAAAUAAGUGGUGGAACUCCUUGCUGCGGAUUUUUGUGGAUGUUGAAGUUCAUGGCUAUUCAGAAAGCAACUUGAAACUUGGGAAAAAAAUUAUUUCUCAAGAUAACCCCAAGAUUGCAAAUCAGUGUAAAAGAAUGUUUUGGGGAAGUAUUACUAUAUUCUUGCUUUUACAACUUUUUCCUAGGUAUGUAUCCCCUGAUGGCCAUCAUCACAAACAGGAUGCUCACCUAGCUGAACCUUUGCUGAUCCAAUACAGCUGUUCUACGAAUCCAUCAAGUAUCUAUGAUGAAAAACUUACUCUAGCUUUAAAUUCUCAAGGUCUCAUCAUAGUUAUGAGGCAUAGGUGCUGCAACACUGCAAUAAUUUAACAGAAACACAUGUCAUCUUACAAGGAUUUUCUUGACACUUUUUAAUUCAGCUGAAACAAGGGACAUGGCUCAAGUUCCUCCUCAAACUCCCUACUUGAAAAUUUCCCCCCUUGACUUCAGAGUUGGGCAGUGGAAAUUCCCUUCAGGACCUGACACAGCUAUUUUCAUGAAAUGUGUAUCCAGGGCAGGGUUUUCUUUAUCCCCAUAGUAAGUAAACAGCUUAAUUUUCAUUUAGACUGAGCUCUUAAAUAUGUGCUAUGGCAGUUUUAACUAUUUGCAUUGGUGCAGCUCCUUAUCUCUUUCACAGACUUGUUACAAAUUCUUCACAUCCAGCUACCUUCCCUCUCCCAUUCCUCCCUGAUCAGCCUAGGUUUUUGGAAGGAAUUGUGUUUUCCAAAUCUUUCCUCUGCACAUACCGACCAAUUCAGCUACCUCACUUAAUACUCAAUUAAGGUGCAUAUCCAGAGAGCUUAUCUUCUGCUCAGGUGAGCCAAUACAAAAUUUCCAUAGACUAUACCUUUGCCAAAUGUUGCCACAAACCUAAUAUUAAUUUCUUUAAGGAUUUUUCCAAUGUCUUCUGUAUAGGUGUAGUGCUUCUCUUUAUGCAUAUUCCGUAAUGGUGUUUUUUGCUGUUGGAUUUUUUUGUUUGUUUUAAUUUUGUUUUUUGUUUUAAUUUUGCAGGUCUCUAUUUCUUAUUGUCUGUAGUCAUCUUCUACACCCACCUUGCAACUUUCUGCUCUAUAUCCUUUUCCUUUAAUGUCCCAUAAACUAGUUUAUGACAGGACAAAUUUUCAUCUCUAAUACAUAAUAUAAAUUCUCUACAGUAUCUAGUCUGUGGAAGAAUGUAUUCAGAAAAAUCCUUUUCAUGUAAACAAUUUGAAGAAAAGCUCUGUAUAUAUACUAGUGUUGCUCUGACCCUUUUUACUUUCUCCUUGAGAGUUACAAGUUCCUUGAGGCAAAACUGCCUCUAGCACAUUGCACCCCCCCCCCCCCCCCCCCCCUUCCCAGUGGUACAUUUUCCUAAAUGGACCUUGCUUGUCCUGGUGAAAUUCUAACAUGUUCAGUGCUCCUCAGCACCUCUGGUUUGCCCAGCACCAUUCCUGUUGGACAUAUUAAACUGACUCUCUGGAAACUGUCUCACUUGAAGUGGGUUCUUCUAUUUGAAUUUCUUUACCAGAACAGUCUCCCUGCCUUUCUUCCCCUGUAAGUCUUUAUAUUGCCCGGUGCCAGUCACUGACUUCAUGACUUCAGUCAUAAACACAACCUGGUAGGUGUUUUCAGGUCUUGUAAUUGAAUUGUAUUUUACAGUCUCUUUAAAAAAAAAAAAAAAAAAAAGUAAUGAAUUUUUGGGUGGCCUGUUAAAAUUGAAACACCUUAGCCCUUCCCCUUCAACUUCAGUUGCCUGCUGAAUCUGUUUCUAAAGAAACAAAAUUUUUAAGGCUGUGUAAUAUCAGUUGGCAAUUCAUCCCCCUGCAAUUGUGGAGACCAGUGAUCUUUUGAGAAGUAUGUUGCCUGUCUUUUUUUAAAUAAUUUCUCCCUUCUGCCUGCCAUUUUGCUUCUUGCUGUUCUGGAGCAGCUGAGCUCCCCCAUUCUUCUAGAAGACAACUUGUGUGGGAUUUGGUCUGGAAUGCCAUAAUCUGUUAGCAGUUUAUUAACUCAUUAACAAAUGAAUGUGACUAUUUGUACCAGUAAAGCUAAUUUUGUUUACCUAAAUGCUAAUUAUUAUCCUCCUACCCAAACCAAACCAGAAAUGUGUAUCAGUUGGUCUCUACUCUCCUCUGAAGUUUCAGUGUUCCUUUAAUACAGUAAGGCCAAGAAACCCUACUAAAUGUCAAUUUUCACCUUGUGGUUUUUGCAUACAACUGAAUUAUCUCACAGACUGAAACCAGUAACUGUUGAUGGAUGCCCUUUUAAGUUCUGAACUUAAAAGUCAAGUCUGAAGUGCCUGCUAAUGCUUAAUUUUCUUGGGAUCUGAGUCACCAACUUCAGUUUCCCUUUUUUAUUUAAGCUUAACUAUUUGCUAAAUAUUUAAAAUCAAUGUUCUCUAAAGGUUUCUGCAAAUGGUUGAAGUUAAAGGUUAAUACGAAGCCUUCUGUUUAAACUUCUGGAAAGGGCACACAAAAAUGAUCAGGGACUUGUGGGGAAUAAUUUAUAAAGGAAAAUUAAUUCCUCAUUGGGUAAAUAUGAAGGAUUACAUUAUGUAAGUUAGCUUGGACAACUGUAUCUUUGAAAAAGAUAAAUUAUAAUGCCUUGAAAAGAGCAAAAGCAGACUUGCAGAGUAAAUUAAAUGCAAUCAGCUGGUGAGAA